rnacentral:rRNA from 1 species
GACGAACGCUGGCGGCGUGCUUAACACAUGCAAGUCGAACGGAAGGGCCCUGCUUUUGUGGGGUGCUCGAGUGGCGAACGGGUGAGUAACACGUGAGUAACCUGCCCUUGACUUUGGGAUAACUUCAGGAAACUGGGGCUAAUACCGGAUAGGAGCUCCUGCUGCAUGGUGGGGGUUGGAAAGUUUCGGCGGUUGGGGAUGGACUCGCGGCUUAUCAGCUUGUUGGUGGGGUAGUGGCUUACCAAGGCUUUGACGGGUAGCCGGCCUGAGAGGGUGACCGGCCACAUUGGGACUGCGAUACGGCCCAGACUCCUACGGGAGGCAGCAGUGGGGAAUAUUGCACAGUGGGCGGAAGCCUGAUGCAGCAACGCCGCGUGCGGGAUGCCGGCCUUCGGGUUGUAAACCGCUUUCGCCUGAGACGAAGCGUGAGUGACGGUAAUGGGUAAAGAAGCACCGGCUAACUACGUG